GCCGGCAUAGCUCAGAUGGUAGAGCAACCGCCUUGUAAGCGGUAGGUCGCCAGUUCGAUUCCGGCUGCCGGCA
rnacentral:tRNA from 1 species